rnacentral:rRNA from 1 species
GAUUUCGGGUUAGACUAGCAUGCGAGUCGAUGUAGCAAUACAUGGCGUACUGCUCAGUAACACGUGGACAACCUACCCUCCGGACGGGUAUAAACCCGGGAAACUGGGUAUAAUCCCCGAUAGAUCUCGGUCGCUGGAAAGCCCCGAGAUCGAAAGCUCCGGCGCCAGAGGAUGGGUCUGCGGCCUAUCAGGUAGUAGUGGGUGUAGCGUACCUACUAGCCUACGACGGGUACGGGUUGUGAGAGCAAGAGCCCGGAGAUGGAUUCUGAGACACGAAUCCAGGCCCUACGGGGUGCAGCAGGCGCGAAAACUUUACAAUGCCGGCAACGGCGAUAAGGGGACCUCGAGUGCCAGGUUACAAAUCUGGCUGUCGUGAUGCCUAAAAAGCAUUGCAUAGCAAGGGCCGGGCAAGACCGGUGCCAGCCGCCGCGGUAACACCGGCGGCUCGAGUGGUAACCGUUAUUAUUGGGUCUAAAGGGUCUGUAGCCGGCCGGAUAAGUCUCUUGAGAAAUCCAGCAGCUCAACUGUUGGGCUUUCAGGAGAUACUGUCUGGCUCGAGGCCGGGAGAGGUGAGAGGUACUUCAGGGGUAGGGGUGAAAUCUUGUAAUCCUUGAAGGACCACCAGUGGCGAAGGCGUCUCACCAGAACGGGCCUGACGGCAAGGGACGAAAGCUAGGGGCACGAACCGGAUUAGAUACCCGGGUAGUCCUAGCCGUAAACGAUACUCGCUAGGUGUCGGCCACGGUGCGACCGUUGUCGGUGCCGUAUGGAAGCCGUGAAGCGAGCCACCUGGGAAGUACGGCCGCAAGGCUGAAACUUAAAGGAAU